GAUUGCUUGGUCUAGUGGUAAGACAUCCUUGAAAUUUGCCUUCCAUGGCCAGGAAGUUAUGGGGAGGUUGUGGGUUCGAUUCCCGCAGCAGUCA